rnacentral:lncRNA from 1 species
AUGCAAAUUCCAUCAAAAGGACUUUUCCAAGGCUUGUAAUGAGGCUAGGCUAACAAGAAAAAUUGGUUUUUCUGGAAUGCAAAAUCCUUGAGUUAAGAGAGCUACCAUAAUAUUCAACAUUUAAGUACAACUCUCUUCCUCACCAAUCUCACUUAUUCCCAACUUUUUCCAUUUUCUUUUGCAUUGAGCCCAUCUUCAUGCUUUUCUUCUUUUCUUUUCUUUUUCUCAUGUAUUUUUCUUUCACAACAUUUGAGCUCAAUGCUUUUCAAUUGCCUUUCAAUUUCCCCCAUGUAACCCCAAACUUGAAUCUUUUCAUCAC